UGCAGUCGAGCGGAAGGCCCUUCGGGGUACUCGAGCGGCGAACGGGUGAGUAACACGUGAGCAACCUGCCCCUGACUCUGGGAUAAGCCCGGGAAACUGGGUCUAAUACCGGAUACGACCGCCCCCGGCAUCGGGUGGUGGUGGAAAGUUUUUUCGGUUGGGGAUGGGCUCGCGGCCUAUCAGCUUGUUGGUGGGGUAGUGGCCUACCAAGGCGACAACGGGUAGCCGGCCUGAGAGGGCGACCGGCCACACUGGGACUGAAACACGGCCCAAACUCCUACGGGAGGCAGCAGUGGGGAAUAUUGCGCAAUGGGCGGAAGCCUGACGCACCGACCCCGCGUGGGGGAUGACGGCCUUCGGGUUGUAAACCUCUUUCAGCAGGGACAAAGUUGACGUGUACCUGCAGAAGAAGCGCCGGCUAACUACGUGCCAGCAGCCGCGGUAAUACGUAGGGCGCAAGCGUUGUCCGGAAUUAUUGGGCGUAAAGAGCUCGUAGGUGGCUGGUCGCGUCUGCCGUGAAAGCCCGCACCUUAACUGCGGGUCUGCGGUGGAUACGGGCCGGCUAGAGGUAGGUAGGGGCAAGUGGAAUUCCUGGUGUAGCGGUGAAAUGCGCA
rnacentral:rRNA from 1 species